AUGAUAAACUUCGAAACCACUUCAGAGAGGGCAAUAAUUAGCAUAUCAGUUGAUGCUGACGGCGAGCAUGAUGAAAAUCCUCACACUAGGCCAGAUGGGCAAAAUAUUGCAGAAGAGGGAAAGAAAAAUGGAGGCGUCGAUGUGUACAAAGAGGAGCUUUGUGCUAUGAUCGAUACCAACAAAGAAUUGGUAGCAGAAGGGAAGGUAGAGAAGAUGGCGAGGUGGAACGAGGUCAUGUUCAUGGAGGAUGUGAAGUGGAGAGAAAAGGUGGCGGCCGAAGCAAGGAAGGUGGAAGCGGAGGAGACACAAUUGCACUCAAGGAGGACAGGCUUGCAAAAUGGAAGAAGGCCGGAGAGUGUGCUAUCAUGA
rnacentral:rRNA from 1 species